rnacentral:lncRNA from 1 species
AUCUUUGUAUUUCUUCUGGAGGUCUUUCAGACGAUCCGCGGACGUUGUUGCCUCGCUCUUUAGCUUCGUGUUCGGACGGUAGCAUUAGCCUCUUUGAAGCCCACCAUGAAAGCAGGAGUAGAAGGGGCGAAGAACGUCGUCCAGUCGUAGUCAGGGUCCGCAGCCAAGAAAUUGAUAAGAUAUUCCGAGAACCCAAGGCGGUAUGCGUCGCUCAGCUCCUUGGAUUUGGAGGCUUUCUCGCCCUCAAGCUCAGACUGGAGACCUGCGAUGGUAGAGUUGGCGAGGUUGGCGGCUGAAGUUGAGGACUCAGUGAGUUCAUUGAGGGUAUCCUGAACAUUCCUGAUCUGGGCAUCCCUUGUCUUGAUAUCAUCUUUGUAUUUCUUCUGGAGGUCUUUCAGACGAUCCGCGGACGUUGUUGCCUCGCUCUUUAGCUUCGUGUUCGCCUUUUCCAGCUCUGCUAUGUGAGCAUUUUUGGCGGCAAGGACGUUGAGGCCCUGAAAAAAUGCCUCGUCCAAUCCUAACUUGAAGCCGUGUUCAGCUUCAUCAGCUUUCUUUGACGACCAGACUUUGACGUCCACAGCAUCAUAGUUGUCUUCGGCCAAAACACUGAAGGCGACAGACACAACAGAGGGGGUCGACUCCUCGCCCUUUCUUGGUUUCUUUUUUGAGGCUGCAACUUCCUCUUCGUUCCCCCGUUUUUGCUUGUUCCUCGCCCUCAAUUCUUUCUCCGGUGGAGGGG